ACCAUCCUUUUCUUGGAGUUGCGCUACUGUCCAAUGAACGCCUAGUGAGGGCAGUACUGCUAAUGCCUGAACAAAGUCCUCCAUCAAAUCUUAUGUAGUGUGGGUACACAGACACAAGAGCACUCCAGUUCCUUGCCAGGAUAAAGCAUCAGCUGUAUGAACAGCAAUUUCAGGAUAG